rnacentral:rRNA from 1 species
AGCGAACGCUGGCGGCAGGCCUAACACAUGCAAGUCGAACGAACUCUUCGGAGUUAGUGGCGGACGGGUGAGUAACACGUGGGAACGUGCCUUUAGGUUCGGAAUAACUCAGGGAAACUUGUGCUAAUACCGAAUGUGCCCUUCGGGGGAAAGAUUUAUCGCCUUUAAAGCGGCCCGCGUCUGAUUAGCUAGUUGGUUAGGUAAAGGCUCACCAAGGCGACGAUCAGUAGCUGGUCUGAGAGGAUGAUCAGCCACAUUGGGACUGAGACACGGCCCAAACUCCUACGGGAGGCAGCAGUGGGGAAUCUUGCGCAAUGGGCGAAAGCCUGACGCAGCCAUGCCGCGUGAAUGAUGAAGGUCUUAGGAUUGUAAAAUUCUUUCACCGGGGACGAUAAUGACGGUACCCGGAGAAGAAGCCCCGGCUAACUUCGUG